rnacentral:rRNA from 1 species
CCUACGGGUGGCUGCAGUGAGGAAUAUUGGACAAUGGGCGCGAGCCUGAACCAGCCAAGUAGCGUGAAGGAUGACUGCCCUACGGGUGUUAAACUUCUUUUAUAAAGAAAUAAAGUGAGGCACGUGUGCCUUAUUGUAUGUACUUUAUGAAUAAGGAUCGGCUAACACCGUGCCAGCAGCCGUGCGAAUAGGGAGGAGCCGAGCGUUAUCCGGAUUUAUUGGGUUUAAGGGGAGCGUAGAUGGGUUGUUAAGUCAGUUGUGAAAGUUUGCGGCUCAACCGUAAAAUUGCAAUUGAUACUGGCAGCCUUGAGUACAGUUGAGGUAGGCGGAAUUCGUGGUGUAGCGGUGAAAUGCUUAGAUAUCACGAAGAACUCCGAUUGCGAAGGCAGCUUACUAAACUGCCACUGACAUUGAUGCUCGAAAGUGUGGGUAUCAAACAGGAUUAGAUACCCUAGUAGUC